UACGUAGGGCGCAAGCGUUAUCCGGAAUUAUUGGGCGUAAAGAGCUCGUAGGCGGUUUGUCGCGUCUGCCGUGAAAGUCCGGGGCUCAACUCCGGAUCUGCGGUGGGUACGGGCAGACUAGAGUGAUGUAGGGGAGACUGGAAUUCCUGGUGUAGCGGUGAAAUGCGCAGAUAUCAGGAGGAACACCGAUAGCGAAGGCAGGUCUCUGGGCAUUAACUGACGCUGAGGAGCGAAAGCAUGGGGAGCGAACAGG
rnacentral:rRNA from 1 species